GGGGUCGCAUGUUUUCCACAAGGACUCGAUUUGCCAAAGAAAUGUUCUGGGCAGUCCUUGCUGGCGUCAUCAUCAGUGGCUUAAUAUUUGUAUUCUAAUGGCACCACGGGUUAUGCGGAAGGGUAAAUAACCAGAGAGAACAUCGUCUGACACGGCCCAGAUGUAAGAAUGAUGAAGCCGUUGGACUAGGGUCGGAACGAAUCGGAAUAAUUAACCAACGUGACGCUGCUGCUGCUGUUGAAGGCAAUACACACGCACUGCCCGUAUGCUCGAUGUGUGUUCAACGAUGAAGAGCGCUUUCCAGCCGCAUUAGGGGUGCAAACAGGAUUCACACAAUCUGUCUUUCAUUUACUCUGGUCUCCUUUAACAAGCUCAUGGGGAGAUCCUAGAUUCUCCAUACUUGGGAGCAGGUUGAUCCAAUGCAUUUCACAAGAGCAACACCGUUGAAGAAUUUCGAUUCGGAAUUAACUGGUUGAGCCAUGUUUAGGCAGAGCAUUAACAAAGCCGUUUCGGGGUUCGGAGGCUUGACGGAAUGGCCCGAUUUUGGGAUGCUGUUACCGGUUUGCUUGGCGACAAACGGAAAAAAGCCACUGGCGACGAAUGGCACGCUGGCCAGGUGUUCUCUGACAGUGUGGACCCUGGUGCUGCUGCUGCUGCACUGCUCCCUAGCUGCCGAAGCACUGAACUAGAUAACUACAAAGGACUGCGAUAAUGAAGAACGUUAUUCGGUUGCGAGGAUCCUUGAAAGACGUGCAGCCUUGCAGAUGUUUCCGUGGCAUCAAACAGCCAACCAGAGCGGCGGCGAGAUCCUGAGGCGGGCGGCGGAUGGUAAACAGCUGGACGCAGACUCCUUCCCUCCUAAUUAGGCCGACUAGUUGUUGUCCUGCUUCACUCUUUUGUUCAUUA
ensembl:lncRNA